AUGAACGCUAGCUACAGGCUUAACACAUGCAAGUCGAGGGGCAGCAUGGUCUUAGCUUGCUAAGACUGAUGGCGACCGGCGCACGGGUGAGUAACACGUAUCCAACCUGCCGUCUACUCUUGGACAGCCUUCUGAAAGGAAGAUUAAUACAAGAUGGCAUCAUGAGUCCGCAUGUUCACAUGAUUAAAGGUAUUCCGGUAGACGAUGGGGAUGCGUUCCAUUAGAUAGUAGGCGGGGUAACGGCCCACCUAGUCUUCGAUGGAUAGGGGUUCUGAGAGGAAGGUCCCCCACAUUGGAACUGAGACACGGUCCAAACUCCUACGGGAGGCAGCAGUGAGGAAUAUUGGUCAAUGGGCGAGAGCCUGAACCAGCCAAGUAGCGUGAAGGAUGACUGCCCUAUGGGUUGUAAACUUCUUUUAUAAAGGAAUAAAGUCGGGUAUGCAUACCCGUUUGCAUGUACUUUAUGAAUAAGGAUCGGCUAACUCCGUGCCAGCAGCCGCGGUAAUACGGAGGAUCCGAGCGUUAUCCGGAUUUAUUGGGUUUAAAGGGAGCGUAGAUGGAUGUUUAAGUCAGUUGUGAAAGUUUGCGGCUCAACCGUAAAAUUGCAGUUGAUACUGGAUAUCUUGAGUGCAGUUGAGGCAGGCGGAAUUCGUGGUGUAGCGGUGAAAUGCUUAGAUAUCACGAAGAACUCCGAUUGCGAAGGCAGCCUGCUAAGCUGCAACUGACAUUGAGGCUCGAAAGUGUGGGUAUCAAACAGGAUUAGAUACCCUGGUAGUCCACACGGUAAACGCUGCAUCCUCCCUGUUCGACAUACACAGCAAGCGGCCAAGCGAAAGCGUUAAGUAUUCCACCUGGGGAGUACGCCGGCAACGGUGAAACUCAAAGGAAUUGACGGGGGCCCGCACAAGCAGUGGAGUAUGUGGUUUAAUUCGACGCAACGCGAAGAACCUUACCAAGUCUUGACAUCCCUUGACGAACAUAGAAAUAUGUUUUCUCUUCGGAGCAAGGAGACAGGUGGUGCAUGGUUGUCGUCAGCUCGUGCCGUGAGGUGUCGGCUUAAGUGCCAUAACGAGCGCAACCCUUGUUGUCAGUUACUAACAGGUUCUGCUGAGGACUCUGACAAGACUGCCAUCGUAAGAUGUGAGGAAGGUGGGGAUGACGUCAAAUCAGCACGGCCCUUACGUCCGGGGCUACACACGUGUUACAAUGGGGGGUACAGAGGGCCGCUACCACGCGAGUGGAUGCCAAUCCCCAAAACCUCUCUCAGUUCGGACUGGAGUCUGCAACCCGACUCCACGAAGCUGGAUUCGCUAGUAAUCGCGCAUCAGCCACGGCGCGGUGAAUACGUUCCCGGGCCUUGUACACACCGCCCGUCAAGCCAUGGGAGCCGGGGGUACCUGAAGUGCGUAACCGCGAGGAGCGCCCUAGGGUAAAACUGGUGACUGGGGCU
rnacentral:rRNA from 1 species